CGGGACGGGGUGAGUAAUGUCUGGGAAACUGCCCGAUGGAGGGGGAUAACUACUGGAAACGGUAGCUAAUACCGCAUAAUGUCUGCGGACCAAAGCGGGGGACCUCCGGGCCUCGCGCCAUCGGAUGUGCCCAGAUGGGAUUAGCUAGUAGGUGGGGUAACGGCUCACCUAGGCGACGAUCCCUAGCUGGUCUGAGAGGAUGACCAGCCACACUGGAACUGAGACACGGUCCAG
rnacentral:rRNA from 1 species